AGAGUUUGAUCAUGGCUCAGAUUGAACGCUGGCGGCAGGCUUAACACAUGCAAGUCGAGCGGAAACGAUAGUAGCUUGCUACUAGGCGUCGAGCGGCGGACGGGUGAGUAAUACUUAGGAAUCUGCCCAGUAGUGGGGGAUAGCUCGGGGAAACUCGAAUUAAUACCGCAUACACCCUACGGGGAAAAGGGGGCGCUUGCGCUCUCGCUAUUGGAUGAGCCUAAGUCGGAUUAGCUAGUUGGUGGGGUAAAGGCCUACCAAGGCGACGAUCUGUAGCUGGUCUGAGAGGAUGAUCAGCCACACCGGGACUGAGACACGGCCCGGACUCCUACGGGAGGCAGCAGUGGGGAAUAUUGGACAAUGGGGGCAACCCUGAUCCAGCCAUGCCGCGUGUGUGAAGAAGGCCUUUUGGUUGUAAAGCACUUUAAGCAGUGAAGAAGACCUUAUGGUUAAUACCCAUAAGCGAUGACAUUAGCUGCAGAAUAAGCACCGGCUAACUCUGUGCCAGCAGCCGCGGUAAUACAGAGGGUGCAAGCGUUAAUCGGAAUUACUGGGCGUAAAGCGAGCGUAGGUGGUUUAAUAAGUCAGAUGUGAAAUCCCCGGGCUUAACCUGGGAACUGCAUCUGAUACUGUUAGGCUAGAGUAGGUGAGAGGGAGGUAGAAUUUCAGGUGUAGCGGUGAAAUGCGUAGAGAUCUGAAGGAAUACCGAUGGCGAAGGCAGCCUCCUGGCAUCGUACUGACACUGAGGUUCGAAAGCGUGGGUAGCAAACAGGAUUAGAUACCCUGGUAGUCCACGCCGUAAACGAUGUCUACUAGUCGUUGGG
rnacentral:rRNA from 1 species